GACGAACGCUGGCGGCGUGCUUAACACAUGCAAGUCGAACGGAAAGGCCCUGCUUUUGUGGGGUGCUCGAGUGGCGAACGGGUGAGUAACACGUGAGUAACCUGCCCUUGACUUUGGGAUAACUUCAGGAAACUGGGGCUAAUACCGGAUAGGAGCUCCUGCUGCAUGGUGGGGGUUGGAAAGUUUCGGCGGUUGGGAUGGGACUCGCGGCUCAUCGGCUUGUUGGUGGGGUAGUGGCUUACCAAGGCUUUGACGGGUAGCCGGCCUGAGAGGGUCACCGGCCACAUUGGGACUGAGAUACGGCCCAGACUCCUACGGGAGGCAGCAGUGGGGAAUAUUGCACAAUGGGCGGAAGCCUGAUGCAGCAACGCCGCGUGCGGGAUGACGGCCUUCGGGUUGGAAACCGCUUUCGCCUGUGACGAAGCGUGAGUGACGGUAAUGGGUAAAGAAGCACCGGCUAACUACGUG
rnacentral:rRNA from 1 species